rnacentral:lncRNA from 1 species
AAAAUCCUGUGGCAUGGAGCGAAGCAAAAGCAGCACGUGGGAGCAAAGACGUUGGUCUGUGACCCAGAGUGUCUGCCACGUGGACGUUUGUGUUGGAACUUCUGCCAUGGUGAGAAGUCCCAGGGAGAAGAAGCCCAGAGGGAAGGCCCUACCUCGGCACAUCCUCUGCCAGCUGUCAGCAGCCCUGGAAAACCCAAACAUCAAAGCUUUGGAGUGGGACGAGGAUGGGCGAGGUGUUGUUGUUCAUGCUGAGCUGUAUGAGGAGGAG